rnacentral:rRNA from 1 species
UACGAAGGGAGCUAGCGUUGUUCGGAAUUACUGGGCGUAAAGGGCGCGUAGGCGGCCAUUUAAGUCAGAUGUGAAAGCCUUGGGCUUAACCUGAGAACUGCAUUUGAUACUGAAAGGCUAGAAAUCGAGAGAGGAAAGUGGAAUUGCGAGUGUAGAGGUGAAAUUCGUAGAUAUUCGCAAGAACACCAGUGGCGAAGGCGGCUUUCUGGCUCGAUAUUGACGCUAAGGCGCGAAAGCGUGGGGAGCAAACAGG